GUUAGAAUAGUAGAAUACACACGGUGACAGUUAGAAUAGUAGAAUAUACACGGUGACAGUUAGAAUAGUAGAAUACACACGGUGACAGUUAGAAUAGUAGAAUACACACGGUGACAGUUUGAAACAUGGUUGUGCAUCAGCAGUUAUUCUCUUGUUAUAUCAGUCACUGAUCGUCACUCAAUUAGCCAAGUCAGCUAAAACAUUUUAUAUGGUAAGUUAGUCUUGUGGCCAGCUAUCUAAACCUUAUAUCAUGGUGGAAUUACUGACCGGGGGAAAUUAGCUUUAAAACAGAAAAUGUUUCUCUCUGCCCCAGGGCAAAAUGUGUAGAAUUGCAUGGAAGGAACUCUGAAGUUUUCACUGUCAAGACGGGGGUGUUUAUAAUGUUUAGCUCACAAAGUACAGCAUUUCGCUCAGAUUUUUUGUGGGCCCCACCCUCAUCAAAGUUGCCGAUCCCCUUGUCUAGUUCUUAACAGCCGCCCUGAGGGUGUCUGUCUGUCACCACUGGGUGGCACUACCCUCUCACCUAAGCCUCCAGUAUGUGAUAUACACUGAGUAUACCAAACAUUACGAACACCUUCAUAAAAUUGAGUUGCCCCUAUCUAUGUCUCAAUUGUAUCAAUGCUUAAAAAUCCUUCUUUAACCUGUCUCCUCCUCUUCAUCUACACGGACAGAAGUGGAUUUAACAAGUGACAUCAAUAAGGGAUCAUAGCUUUCACCUGGAUUCACCUGGUCAGUCUAUGUCAUGGAAAUACCAGGUGUUCUUAAUGUUUUGUAUAGUCAGUGUAGAGAGGCUCUAGAAUACCCUGGAAUCAGGAUUCUAAAGGAUCAAUUAGUGUUCUACAGGUUAACUCAGUGUUCUGAUGGUUCCACUACUGUUCUAGUGUUUCCUUUUGUGUUCUACAGGUUAACUCAGUGUUCUGAUGGUUCCACUGAUGUUCUAGUGUUUCCUUUAGUGUUCUACAGGUUAACUCAAUGUUCUGAUGGUUCCACUACUGUUCUAGUGUUUCCUUUAGUGGUUCCAGGUUGACUCAGUGUUCUGAUGGUUCCACUGAUGUUCUAGUGUUUCCUUUAGUGUUCUACAGGUUAACUCAAUGUUCUGAUGGUUCCACUACUGUUCUAGUGUUUCCUUUAGUGGUUCCAGGUUGACUCAGGGUUCUGAUGGUUCCACUGCUGUUCUAGUGUUUCCUUUAGUGUUCUACAGGUUAACUCAGUGUUCUGAUGGUUCCACUACUGUUCUAGUGUUUCCUUUAGUGUUCUACAGGUUAACUCAGUGUUCUGAUGGUUCCACUACUGUUCUAGUGUUUCCUUUAGUGGUUCCAGGUUGACUCAGUGUUCUGAUGGUUCCACUGCUGUUCUAGUGUUUCCUUUAGUGUUCUACAGGUUAACUCAGUGUUCUGAUGGUUCCACUACUGUUCUAGUGUUUCCUUUAGUGGUUCAAGGUUAACUAAAUGUUCUGAUGGUUCCACUGCUGUUCUAGUGUUUCCUUUAGUGUUCUACAGGUUAACUCAGUGUUCUGAUGGUUCCACUACUGUUCUAGUGUUUCCUUUAGUGGUUCAAGGUUAACUAAAUGUUCUGAUGGUUCCACUGCUGUUCUAGUGUUUCCUUUAGUGUUCUACAGGUUAACUCAGUCUUCUGAUGGUUCCACUACUGUUCUAGUGUUUCCUUUAGUGUUCUACAGGUUAACUCAGUGUUCUGAUGGUUCCACUGAUGUUCUAGUGUUUCCUUUAGUGUUCUACAGGUUAACUCAAUGUUCUGAUGGUUCCACUACUUUUCUAGUGUUUCCUUUUGUGUUCUACCGGUUAACUCAAUUUUCUGAUGGUUCCACUAUAGUUCUAGUGUUACCUUUAGUGUUCUACAGGUUGACUCAGUGUUCUGAUGGUUCCACUACUGUUCUAGUGUUUCCUUUAGUGUUCUUCAGGUUAACUCAGUGUUCUGAUGGUUCCACUGCUGUUCUCUUGUUUCCUUUAGUGUUCUACAGUUUAACUCAAUGUUCUGAUGGUUCCACUACUGUUCUAGUGUCUCCUUUAGUGGUUCCAGGUUAACUCAGUGUUCUGAUGGUUCCACUACUGUUCUAGUGUUUCCUUUAGUGGUUCCAGGUUGACUCAAUGUUCUGUUGGUUCCACUACUGUUCUAGUGUUCCCUUUAGUGGUUCCAGUUUGACUCAGUGUUCUGAUGGUUCCACUACUGUUCUAGUGUUUCCUUUAGUGGUUCCAGGUUGACUCAAUGUUCUGAUGGUUCCACUACUGUUCUAGUGUUCCCUUUAGUGGUUCCAGGUUGACUCAGUGUUCUGAUGGUUCCACUACUAUUCUAGUGUUUCCUUUAGUGUUCUACAGGUUAACUCAAUGUUCUGAUGGUUUCACUACUGUUCUAUUGUUUCCUUUAGUGGUUCCAGGUUGACUCAAUGUUCUGAUGGUUCCACUACUGUUCUAGUGUUCCCUUUAGUGGUUCCAGUUUGACUCAGUGUUCUGAUGGUUCCACUACUGUUCUAGUGUUUCAUUUAGUGUUCUACAGGUUAACUCAAUGUUCUGAGGGUUCCACUACUGUUCUAGUGUUCCCUUUAGUGGUUCCAGUUUGACUCAGUGUUCUGAUGGUUCCACUACUGUUCUAGUGUUUCCUUUAGUGGUUCCAGGUUGACUCAAUGUUCUGAUGGUUCCACUACUGUUCUAGUGUUCCCUUUAGUGGUUCCAGGUUGACUCAGUGUUCUGAUGGUUCCACUACUAUUCUAGUGUUUCCUUUAGUGUUCUACAGGUUAACUCAAUGUUCUGAUGGUGUCACUACUGUUCUAUUGUUUCCUUUAGUGGUUCCAGGUUGACUCAAUGUUCUGAUGGUUCCACUACUGUUCUAUUGUUUCCUUUAGUGGUUCCAGGUUGACUCAAUGUUCUGAUGGUUUCACUACUGUUCUAUUGUUUCCUUUAGUGGUUCCAGGUUGACUCAAUGUUCUGAUGGUUCCACUACUGUUCUAGUGUUCCCUUUAGUGGUUCCAGUUUGACUCAGUGUUCUGAUGGUUCCACUACUGUUCUAGUGUUUCAUUUAGUGUUCUACAGGUUAACUCAAUGUUCUGAGGGUUCCACUACUGUUCUAGUGUUUCCUUUAGUGGUUCCAGGUUAACUCAGUGUUCUGAUGGUUCCACUACUGUUCUAGUGUUUAUUUUAAUGUUCUACAGGUUAACUCGGUGUUCUGAUGUUUCCACUGCUGUUCUAGUGUUUCCUUUAGUGUUCUACAGGUUAACUCAAUGUUCUGAUGGUUCCACUACUUUUCUAGUGUUUCCUUUUGUGUUCUACCGGUUAACUCAAUGUUCUGAUGGUUCCACUACUGUUCUUGUGUUUCCUUUAGUGUUCUACAGGUUGACUCAGUGUUCUGAUGGUUCCACUACUUUUCUAGUGUUUCCUUUAGUGUUCUUCAGGUUAACUCAGUGUUCUGAUGGUUCCACUGCUGUUCUAGUGUUUCCUUUAGUGUUCUACAGGUUAACUCAAUGUUCUGAUGGUUCCACUACUUUUCUAGUGUUUCCUUUUGUGUUCUACCGGUUAACUCAAUGUUCUGAUGGUUCCACUACUGUUCUAGUGUUUCCUUUCGUGUUCUACAGUUUAACUCAAUGUUCUGAUGGUUCCACUACUGUUCUAGUGGUUCCAGAUUGACUCAAUGUUCUGAUGGUUCCACUACUGUUCUAGUGUUUCCUUUAGUGUUCUACAGGUUAACUCAAUGUUCUGAUGGUUUCACUACUGUUCUAGUGUUUCCUUUAGUGGUUCCAGGUUGACUCAAUGUUCUAAUGGUUCCACUACUGUUCUAGUGUUUCCUUUAGUGUUCUACAGGUUAACUCAAUGUUCUGAUGGUUCCACUACUGUUCUAGUGUUUCCUUUAGUGGUUUCAGGUUGACUCAA